rnacentral:rRNA from 1 species
ACAGUCACACAUUAGAUACCCGGGUAGUCCUGGCCGUAAACGAUGUGGACUUGGUGUUGGAAUGGCUCCGAGCUGCUCCAGUGCCGAAGGGAAGCUGUUAAGUCCACCGCCUGGGAAGUACGGUCGCAAGGCUGAAACUUAAAGGAAUUGGCGGGGAGCACCACAACGGGUGGAGCCUGCGGUUUAAUUGGACUCAACGCCGGAAAUCUCACCGGAUAGGGCAGACAUAUGAUAGUCGGGCUGAAGACUCUACUUGAUGAUCUG